rnacentral:rRNA from 1 species
UACAGAGGGUGCAAGCGUUAAUCGGAAUUACUGGGCGUAAAGCGUGCGUAGACGGUUAUGUAAGUCAGAUGUGAAAGCCCCGGGCUUAACCUGGGAAUGGCAUUUGAGACUGCAUAGCUAGGGUGCGGAAGAGGGAAGCGGAAUUUCGGGUGUAGCGGUGAAAUGCGUAGAUAUCCGAAGGAACAUCAGUGGCGAAAGCGGCUUCCUGGACCAGAACUGACGAUCAGGCUCGAAAGCGUGGGGAGCAAACAGG